GGCCAGGGGCAAUCCCUGUCCCCUUUCCCAUUGCCUGGGUACUUGAGAAUUUCUAUUCUCUCCUCACCGCCUACUUUUCUGUCCGCAUUCCUCUGAUCCUACUUCCUUUUUGGUCAGGUCUUUAACCUGGCUGCUUUCCCAGCUCACAGCAACACCCAACAAAUUAACUGGAGCAAAUCCAAACCAGAAAUAACAACACACAGAACCAACUUUCAUUGUUUUACCUAAUAACCUUUUGGGUUCAGCAAAAUAUUACCUCAUCUCUGACAACAGGGUAGAGGACUCUGAUGUCACCAACCUCUGGAUGAUGACAUCAGGCAUUGCUGGAUUGUGACCUCACCUUCUCUCCCUGCUUAUCUUGGGGUUCCAAGGAGUUUCAAUGCCUUUUGUGCUGUCACAGGGGUUGGAGGCUGGUGUCAGAGAGCAGUGGGCUGUGACAUCACAGAGGGAUGCAUUGUGACAUUGUGCCCCUCAAUUCCAAGGAAUACUUUUGAAAACUACUUCCCAAAGUGAAUCUUUCUCCAAGCAGAUGGACUGGCAAAACCCAUAAUCUGUGAGCAGAAGACAGGAAUAUUUUUGCCUGUUGGAAAAAUGCCAUAGCAAUGUGCUCUUGACUAGGCGCACUCUUGUCCUUACCAUAAAGAAAAGACACUGAACAAAAUGAAA